rnacentral:rRNA from 1 species
UUUUGAUUUUAAUUUGAGGUUUGACCUGCUCAAUGAAAAUUAAAUUGCCGCGGUAUUUUGACCGUGCAAAGGUAGCAUAAUAAUUAGUUUUUUAAUUGGAAGCUGGAAUGAAUGGUUGGACGAAAGAACGUCUGUCUCUUUAUUAGUUGAGUUGAAUUUAAUUUUUUAGUAAAAAAGCUAAGAUUUUUUUGAAAGACGAGAAGACCCUUAAGAGUUUUAUUUAUAAAAAUGAUUAAUUUAAUUGGAAUUUUUCGUAUUUUGAUUUUUGUAAAUUUGGUUGGGGUGACUUGAAGAUUAAAAAAACUCUUUUCUUUAUAAGCAGUGAUUUCUGAUUUUAUAAUCUAAAUUUUUUAAAUUUAAAACUAAUUACCUAAGGGAUAACAGCGUAAUUCUUUCUUGGAGUUCAAAUUGGUGAAAGAGUUUGCGACCUCGAUGUUGGAUUAAAAUAAGUUUUUGGUGUAGAAGCU